AAGGAAGUUUGCUGGUUUGCUGGUGGUGUAACCGUAUGGGAACAUCCACAAUUGACUGUAUGAGUGAACAUCAACGUACAUUUUGACGUCAGUAAGACCCUCAACAAAGUUCUUCUGGGCUAAAGUACAUGGCUGCAAAGUAACAUUGUAGACGUUGAAUUAACCCAGCAAUACCAAACAAUACAUGGGACAUCACAACUCACCGCAAUGGUGUAGGCGUAACCGUCUGGGUUGGAAGAUGGGAUGAAAACGAAGUCAACAUCUUGCAACACACUUGGUGGGGAGUCGACAAGCUGUA